rnacentral:rRNA from 1 species
UUGGAGGGCAAGUCUGGUGCCAGCAGCCGCGGUAAUUCCAGCUCCAAUAGCGUAUAUUAAAGUUGUUGCAGUUAAAAAGCUCGUAGUUGAACUUCGGGGUUCACCCAUUGGUCAGGCUUAAUUGUCUGUACUGGUGAGAUGAGUCUCUACCUUCUGAGGAACUUUCAUGCCAUUUAUUUGGUGUGGUUGGAAAUCAGGACUGUUACUUUGAAAAAAUUAGAGUGUUUAAAGCAGGCUAACGUCUGAAUACAUUAGCAUGGAAUAAUGAAAUAGGACGGAUUGAUUCUAUUUCGUUGGUUUCUAGGGUCACCGUAAUGAUUAAUAGGGAUAGUUGGGGGCAUUAGUAUUCAAUUGUCAGAGGUGAAAUUCUUGGAUUUAUUGAAGACUAACUACUGCGAAAGCAUUUGCCAAGGAUGUUUUCAUUAAUCAAGAACGAAAGUUAGGGGAUCGAAGACGAUCAGAUACCGUCGUAGUCUUAACCAUAAACUAUGCCGACUAGGGAUCGGACGCAGUUAAUUUAUAAUGACGUGUUCGGCGCC